GCUCUGAUAGCUCAGCCUGGUUGAGCGGCUGACUUGUAAUCAGCAGGCCGGGAGUUCAAAUCUCUCUCAGGGCU
rnacentral:tRNA from 1 species